UAUACCUUGGCGCAAUAGAAGCGUGUCGGUUUCCGGAGCCGAAGGUUGCGGGUUCAAGUCCCGCCGGGAUUA
rfam:Perkinsus marinus ATCC 50983 gcontig_1104296587314, whole genome shotgun sequence.